UCGUCCUACGGGGGGCAGCAGUGGGGGAUAUUGCACAAUGGGGGAAACCCUGAUGCAGCGACGCCGCGUGAGUGAAGAAGGUCUUCGGAUUGUAAAGCUCUGUUCUUGGUGAAGAUAAUGACGGUAGCCAAGGAGAAAGCUCCGGCUAACUACGUGCCAGCAGCCGCGGUAAUACGUAGGUGGCAAGCGCUGUCCGGAUUUACUGGGUGUAAAGGGCGUGUAGCCGGGUUGACAAGUCAGAUGUGAAAUCCUGCGGCUUAACCGCAGAACUGCAUUUGAAACUGUUGAUCUUGAGUACUGGAGAG
rnacentral:rRNA from 1 species